AGGUGAUCGCAUAAUUGUAAUUAUGAGGAAAGUCCGGGCAUCAUAGAGCAGGAUGCAAGCUAACGGCUUGAUGCGGCAACGCAUGUGAUUCGCAACAGAGAAGAAACCGCCCGAAUCCAUAUUCAGCAAAUUUAACCUCCUUUUAUUUAGUAUUUAAGUUUUUAACUUAGUUUUUUCGGGUAAGGGUGAAACGGCGUGUGUAAGAGACCACCGCUCGACCGGUGACGGACGAGGCAUGGCGAAACCAUCUGAUGCAAGUUCAAGAAGAAGCCACAGUUGCUCGCUGGCAAAAGCUUCGGGUAGAACGCUAGAGCGUAUCAGCGAUGAUACGCCAAAGAUAGAUGAUCACCUUCUACAGAACCCGGCUUAUAGGCAUGCUG
rnacentral:RNase_P_RNA from 1 species